AUGUUUGGCACGGCAUCUCAACUUGAUGUCUAUUUCUUCUUGUUCUCCUUCACCUCACAUGAACCUUCCAAGUCAUAAUUCUUUGGAAAUAGACACAAGGAGCUUUAUUUCAAAUUACCAUCCUUUACUUAAGAGGUUCCAUCUCUAAGGUCUGGCUGAUUUCACUUAACAUAAUGUCCUUCAGGUUCAUCCACAUUGUGCCAAAUGAGUGACAACUAUAGCUUCCAUAAGAAAGUUUUGGAGGCUCCUAAAAAUGACAGAUAAAUGAACUAACCUAAUCAGCAAAAUUAAACUAUAGGAAAGAGUAUGGACCUUGAAAAGACAGCUUAGCCAGCUUGACGACUAAAGCAACACCUUUCCAAGCAACAUUGGAAAUUUGACCUCCUCAUCAGAAAAAUGUGUAUAGACAUCUCUGGAGUCAGGCUACCCCAUAUGAAGCUUGGAUUUUGGCUUCACUGUGGCUGCAGGUAUUUGAGGAUGCAAUUAGCUGAACUAAUCUCACUCAAAUUCCUAAGUGCGACUUCUUACGUGGUUUUCAUCUAGCCGUUCUAUCUAUCCCAACAAGAAUCUGUUGCUAGACCUCAAAAACACUGAGUGCUGUCAGGAAAAAAUGUACAAGGCACCACAAAGAUUAUGGGGCAUCUACUAUGGAAAACCUAGACAUUGUCUAGAGCAUUGUUUGUGGUUAUCUCUGUCUUUCAUUGCCUUUGAUCUAUUUUUCAACUCUCCACAUUGUAGAAAAUGACUGAUAAUUCAAAUGAUUCUUUUCCAUAAAAAUGGAAGUGAACAAUGUUCGGUGGGAUGCAAUGGACUAAUUUUGUAGGUAUUUAUAAAUUUAUUUUAACAUUUUGUAUUACCUAUGUAUAUAUGUGAUUCUCUGAAUUCUCUUUUGAACUGAUCAUAACAUCUUACUGGAUCUCAUUAAUUAAUGCAUUAAAGUCUUUGACCCAUGUUCAUUUUAUAUGAGAGUCUUGAUUUUAUAUUAAAAAAUGAUCCUUUGAGAGUGGCUAAUCCUGACAAGGGGGAGUCUCCCAGCACAGUGCACCAGCUCUUCAGCUGAUCCUGACAAGAGGGAUUCUCUCAGGACAGCGCACCAGCUCUGCUAAGGGACAGACUGCCUCCUCAAGCGAGUCUCUGAUCCUGUGCCUCCUG
rnacentral:lncRNA from 1 species